AUGAUUGUACUUCUAGGGAUCACUCCUACAGUACGCAUCACCAGGACGUCAGUCAAACCUGCUCCUGGAUACCCAACCGUGUUGAGGAAGUGUGUCGUGCGUCCGUCAGCGUGAUGGGGCUUGGGGCUGUUAGCGCUAACACUAAGCUGACAUGGCCGUUUGCCUAGUCGAUCGCAUUGUCGGAGAGUGGCUCGUGACCCGCCCUCGCCCUCCUUGCCUGCAUGGUGAGGUGGGUGUGUGUGUGGGUUCAGCACUCUGACGAGUGGGCCGCACGAGUUCUGAGCGGU
rfam:Hymenolepis microstoma genomic scaffold, pathogens_HYM_scaffold_0005